rnacentral:rRNA from 1 species
AGAGUUUGAUCAUGGCUCAGGAUAAACGCUGGCGGCGCACAUAAGACAUGCAAGUCGAACGGACUUAACUCAUUCUUUUAGAUUGAGAGCGGUUAGUGGCGGACUGGUGAGUAACGCGUAAGGAACCUACCUUUUAGAGGGGAAUAACAAUGAGAAAUCAUUGCUAAUACCGCAUAUGCCAUAGGCAACACAUGUUGCUAGUGGGAAAGGAGCAAUCCGCUAGAAGAUGGCCUUGCGUCUGAUUAGAUAGUUGGUGGGGUAACGGCCUACCAAGUCGACGAUCAGUAGCCGGACUGAGAGGUUGAACGGCCACAUUGGGACUGAGAUACGGCCCAGACUCCUACGGGAGGCAGCAGUCGGGAAUAUUGCGCAAUGGAGGGAACUCUGACGCAGUGACGCCGCGUAUAGGAAGAAGGUUUUCGGAUUGUAAACUAUUGUCGUUAGGGAAGAGAAAGGACAGUACCUAAGGAGGAAGCUCCGGCUAACUACGUGCCAGCAGCCGCGGUAAUACGUAGGGAGCGAGCGUUAUCCGGAAUUAUUGGGUGUAAAGGGUGCGUAGACGGGAAUACAAGUUAGUUGUGAAAUCCCUCGGCUCAACUGAGGAACUGCAACUAAAACUAUAUUUCUUGAGUGCAGGAGAGGUAAGUGGAAUUCCUAGUGUAGCGGUGAAAUGCGUAGAUAUUAGGAGGAACACCAGUGGCGAAGGCGACUUACUGGACUGUAACUGACGUUGAGGCACGAAAGUGUGGGGAGCAAACAGGAUUAGAUACCCUGGUAGUCCACACCGUAAACGAUGGAUA